AAAAAUCCAGCUGCAACGCCGCCCAAGAAAUUAAUUUAAUCAAUAAAUAAAAAAGAGGGUGAAUACUGAAUAGUGAGUAGGAGUACACUAAACAAUUAAUGUUAGGAAAGCAAUAAAUAAACUAACCUCAAAAGGGAAGGAAGGAAGAAUGAGAAUAUGUCACACUGUCAUGUCAUGUGUGUAACAGUGCAUCUCAGCAUCUAUGUUUGCAUAAUGCAGUGAACAUUAUGAACCCUUCAAUGGUCAAUAGGCAUGCUAAGGUAUAUAUGUACUUGACCAAGUGCCACGUUAGUAACC
rnacentral:lncRNA from 1 species